UGUACGCUAUUAAUUUAGUCCACAGCACCUAUCUUCAAUGUUUCUAAUGUUAAUUUGUAUAAUAAAUUAAUGAAACAAAAUAGGAGAUAGGAAAUAAGAGUUUCUUUCAUGACCCCAUUUCUAAAUCAGGUGACAGUAUUUUGGGAACCCCUGCGUUACAGUCUUGUCCUUGUCCAAGGGGUCUUCUUUUUUUUCUUCUUCUUCUUGUUUUUGCCUGAACAUUUUUACGUGAAUUCACUUUCUUAAAAUUUACAGAGCAGUAUACGUAUGUUUGCACGGUAUUGUCGCAGGUCUGAAAAAGUGUGGAAUUUUAAAACGGCAAUCCCAUGUCUGAAGAGUCAUUAAAUGAUGAUUUGGGAAAAGUACAGACAUUCUGUUGUCAAAGUAAUACCCAAGGCCUGAUGUGCUGAGCAGUUUGCCCGUACAGGCAAAGGGUGUAAUGGGGACAAAUAGUGUGCAAAAUCCUUGUAUUUUAAGUACAGUAUGGGUGUACAAGCCCAAAAAAUGCUUGUAUGGUAAUUCUGUUUUGUCUUCUCCUCUUCAGGCUCAGAUAUGCAAAACAGACAUGUGUCCGAUCUCCAAAAACCAGGGGGCGGUGAUGGAAUGCAGAGUUCCUCAGCUAGGCAGAGUGACAGGAAAUACUAUUCUGGAGAGGAGAUAAAGUACCUCAGUGAGGGUGUGAGACGUUUUGGUCACUCCUGGAACACUAUACUGUGGGCGUAUCCCUUCCAGCAGGGACGCACAAAUGUAGACCUGGCCAAGAAAUAUAGAAAGCUACAGCAGGGCUCCGCGCCGUCCCCAGACCUCAUAACACAGGAAUCUGCUGAACAAAGAGUUCACUAAAGAGACAGCGUGGUCUGUACAGCCUGUACUGUUCAUGUGUAAACAGCAGUCUAGCCUUUAAUGCAGAAAGCAGUGGAUAUUCCUUAUGAAGUGUUUAUUUAUUAUUAGUGUUGAAUAAAUUACUGGA
ensembl:lncRNA